GACACAAGGAGCUCGAACUCGCGACGUUUAGGCGUCAAAUUAAGCUUUGUUUUUUAUUUUAUAAAAUGGCUGGCGACCAGUCCAGGGUAUACCUCACCUAUCGCCCAGUCAGCUGGGAUAAGUUCCAGCUCACCCUUGAUUCUGUGUAGAAAAUGGAUGGAUGGAUGGAGCAUGACAGCCUCACACUUCUGAGUUGGAGAAAGCAAUCGCUGAUGCAUUCAGGAGCAGGCUUAUGCCUGCUGUUUAUUGUUUCUGCGCUCCCUACCUCGAGAAGCACAACAUCACUUCAGGGACUGACAGAAGUGUCCUGUAAUUGCUGUGGCCGCACCGCACCGGCUGAGGACCCCACCCAAUCAAUCGAGAGGCAGGAUCAGGCCCAGGGAUCCACCGAGAGCAGCCUGGCGGACUGGACACCCAGCCCCACCGAGGCGCCGCGACAACCGGCCAACCAGCGGGGGCCCCAGGAAAGUAGCUACGGUCACCAGACAUGGAGAGGUCAUCUUCCCAUUUGGUGAUUGGAGAAGCUUCAUUAUAUGCUUGACAAACUCCGGCAGUUCAAGGGUGCUCUGAAGUGUUGGUAUUCUUUUUUUAAUUGCUGCUUUUAAUUUAUUGUAUUGAAGAAAGUUUCCGGC